AAUGCGUAGAGAUUUGGAAGAAUACCAGUGGCGAAGGCGCCCCCCUGGACGAAAACUGACGCUAAAAUACGAAAGCAUGGGGAGCAAACAGGAUUAGAUACCCUGGUAGUCCAUGCUUUAAACGAUGUCGAUUUGAAGGUUGUAGCCUUGAGCUAUAGCCUUCGAAGCUAACGCAUUAAAUCGACCGCCUGGGGAGUACGACCGCAAGGUUAAAACUCAAAUGAAUUGACGGGGGCCCCCACAAUCGGUGGAGCAUGUGGUUUAAUUCGAUGAUACGCGAGGAACCUUACCAAGACUU
rnacentral:rRNA from 1 species